rnacentral:rRNA from 1 species
GAUGAACGCUGGCGGCGUGCCUAAUACAUGCAAGUCGAGCGAACAGACGAGGAGCUUGCUCCUCUGACGUUAGCGGCGGACGGGUGAGUAACACGUGGAUAACCUACCUAUAAGACUGGGAUAACUUCGGGAAACCGGAGCUAAUACCGGAUAAUAUAUUGAACCGCAUGGUUCAAUAGUGAAAGACGGUUUUGCUGUCACUUAUAGAUGGAUACGCGCCGCAUUAGCUAGUUGGUAAGGUAACGGCUUACCAAGGCAACGAGGCGUAGCCGACCUGAGAGGGUGAUCGGCCACACUAGAACUGAGACACGGUCCAGACUCCUACGGGAGGCAGCAGUAGGGAAUCUUCCGCAAUGGGCGAAAGCCUGACGGAGCAACGCCGCGUGAGUGAUGAAGGUCUUCGGAUCGUAAAACUCUGUUAUUAGGGAAGAACAAAUGUGUAAGUAACUAUGCACGUCUUGACGGUACCUAAUCAGAAAGUCACGGCUAACUACGUG